CAUCUUACGACAUAAUUAUUGUCGGCGCUGGUUCAUCAGGCUGCGUCCUGGCCAACCGACUCUCUGAGAUCUCAAACUGGACAGUGCUGUUACUGGAGGCCGGAGAGGAUCCUUCAAUCGAAUCCACGAUACCCGGAUUAUUUCCAUUUGUUGAUUACUCGUACGAAGAUUGGAAUUACAGAACCGUUAAUGAUGAUUAUUCAUGUCAAGCGCAUACAGAAAAAAAUAUUCAUUUGACGAGAGGCAAAAUGGUUGGUGGCUGUAGUGG